CGUAUGCAAUCUACCUUUGCAGAGGGAUAGCCCAGAGUAAAUUUGGAUUAAUACCUCAUAGUAUAUGGACUUCGCAUGGAGACCAUAUUAAGUUCCAACGGCAAAAGAUGAGCAUGCGUCCCAUUAGCUAGAUGGUAAGGUAACGGCUUACCAUGGCUACGAUGGGUAGGGGUCCUGAGAGGGAGAUCCCCCACACUGGUACUGAGACACGGACCAGACUCCUACGGGAGGCAGCAGUGAGGAAUAUUGGACAAUGGGCGCAAGCCUGAUCCAGCCAUGCCGCGUGCAGGAUGACGGUCCUAUGGAUUGUAACUGCUUUACACAGGAAGAAACAACGCUACGUGUAGCGUCUUGACGGUACUGUGAGAAUAAGGAUCGGCUAACUCCGUG
rnacentral:rRNA from 1 species